rnacentral:misc_RNA from 1 species
AAAAAAAAAAAAAAAAACAAAUAUUGAUGCGAGCUUGUUACCCUGAAAAAAUUAUUAUAUACAAUCAUUGUAUGUACAAUGGAGAAAUUUUGAUAGUUGAUUAUGAUGGGAUCCACUAUGAUUAAUAGCUAUAACAAAAUCUUUAUACAUACAACGGUUGUAUUCUAAAAUUUCUUAUUACACUAAGGGAUAGUUUUAAUUACAGUUCACGUGUCUGAAAUUCUUGCAUUUUCCUAACGGGUAGAAAUAUAAAGGGGGUAGAUUAUGGAAAUGAUCGAGAGUAGCUUGACUUGUAAGAGGAGAUUUUGCUAAAUGUUUAUAAUCAUUGUUUUUCUUGAACAGGCCAAUAAACUACAUAUAAAAAUGCAUGUACACUGUUGCUAUGAAAAUAGUGAACCACAUGACCAUAUUGGCUUGUGUUUAAUCGAUAGGUUGCUCUCACCUUAUAAGACAUGGAGCAGAUGCAGAUGUGGAAGACAAGGGGUCAAGGGCACACUGUUCUUGGUUGAGCAUAUUAUAGUUCAGGCCAAUGCUGAUUGAAGGAUGAGUUCUGAACUAGUUUUAUGCAGGUAGAUGGGGAAUUCAGUUAAUUAUCUGGGUCAUCAAUGAGGUCUUGGCAGAGAAUUGCAUUUUGAUGAAUUUUCUCUACAUGUUGUGUGUAGUGGAGGAGAGUUGUGAUGCAGCAGUUAUCUUGUUUGGAAUUGUUUUUUCGACCUGCUUUUUAGGAAAAUACCAUUUUAAAUGUUGAAAAUGCAUUUAAAAAAAAAAAAAAAACUAUUUAGUUGGUUUGGAGUUCUUAUAAUUAAUAGAUGCUAAAUUCAACUUAAAAACUCUUUUUUUAUUAUUAUUAUAUAUGUAGAGGGAGAAAGAGUAGAAAACAGUUCAAACAACAACACCAAAUGAAACCAUUAUCUUGUUGUUAAUAUUUAGUUGCUUUGUUUACAAUACUUGAAGAUGGUUUCAAUAUUUAUAUCAUAAAAAAAAAAAAAGAGAUGGUUUUAAUAUCUUGUGUUUCCAGUUUUACUUGUGCUCAUAUUCUGGAUUACUUCUUUACUAUAACCACACAUCUGCGUGUAUUGGGAAAAAGGUGAGGUUGGAUCAAAUGAGAAUGAAUUCAAUUUCCAAUUUCACAGGUCUACAGUUUCUAGGGAUGAUGCUACCUAUGAAUCUUGGGUUGGCAAAUUGACGGAAUGGAUCUCGAAUAGCCUGUAUACAAAGACAGAUGUGAGGUUGGUGACUUAAAGGCAGCAAAUUCGACGCUUAAGUCAGCCAGUGUUCGAGAACGAUGAAUAAUAGCUUAAUAGGAAAAAUAGAAUGAAUUGCCUAUCUUAGUAGGCAUUAGGAGUCUUUUUAUGGGGUGCCAACUGUAUAUUACAGAAACGCAAUAUACCGUAUCAGUGAUAUUCUUGGUGGUAAUCUAGCCUUUUUUUAAUAGCUUUUGUUCGACCUCUAAGGUUCCGAACUCAACUAAAUUAUUGAACUAGAUUCUCAAAAUAUCUCUUUCAACAUUCUUAUAUUCGGUUUUAGUUCUUCUACCUUGACACUGUUGUCUUCGGACUAAUCGAAUGAUGAAUCUGAACAUCUUAUGCUUGGGUCAAAUCUAUGGCUAAUUAAUCUAUGGCUAAUUAUUAGGUGCAUCUGGUGCAUUAAAAAUUAGUGUUCCCUUUCUCACAGAAGAGUGGACCCUUUCUACAACGUAUAAAAUGAGCUCCACAUGAUUGUGAGAGAUGUGAGAGAUGGUGCAUGUGGACCAAGUACACUUAAUAAUUUCCCUUCAUCUUCU